UAUUUUAUAGUGUAAGAUGCAUAAAGAUUUUUGAUAUCUUAGGAAUUAGUUUGAUUCUAAUUGAAAUAA
rnacentral:tRNA from 1 species